CCGCCCAUAGCUCAGUCGGUAGAGCGGCUCCCUUUUAAGGAGAAGGUCCCAGGUUCGAAUCCUGGUGGGCGGACAA
rnacentral:tRNA from 2 species